rnacentral:lncRNA from 1 species
AUUUACAUAAAAAAGGACCUCUUCUAUGACCAUCUAUUGCUGGGUUCAACUCUAAGCUGUCAACCAAUC